GAUGAACGCUAGCUACAGGCUUAACACAUGCAAGUCGAGGGGCAGCAUUUUAGUUUGCUUGCAAACUGAAGAUGGCGACCGGCGCACGGGUGAGUAACACGUAUCCAACCUGCCGAUAACUCCGGAAUAGCCUUUCGAAAGAAAGAUUAAUACCGGAUGGCAUACGAAUAUCGCAUGAUAUUUUUAUUAAAGAAUUUCGGUUAUCGAUGGGGAUGCGUUCCAUUAGUUUGUUGGCGGGGUAACGGCCCACCAAGACUACGAUGGAUAGGGGUUCUGAGAGGAAGGUCCCCCACAUUGGAACUGAGACACGGUCCAAACUCCUACGGGAGGCAGCAGUGAGGAAUAUUGGUCAAUGGGCGAGAGCCUGAACCAGCCAAGUAGCGUGAAGGAUGAAGGCUCUAUGGGUCGUAAACUUCUUUUAUAUGGGAAUAAAGUUCUCCACGUGUGGAAUUUUGUAUGUACCAUAUGAAUAAGGAUCGGCUAACUCCGUGCCAGCAGCCGCGGUAAUACGGAGGAUCCGAGCGUUAUCCGGAUUUAUUGGGUUUAAAGGGAGCGUAGGUGGAUUGUUAAGUCAGUUGUGAAAGUUUGCGGCUCAACCGUAAAAUUGCAGUUGAAACUGGCAGUCUUGAGUACAGUAGAGGUGGGCGGAAUUCGUGGUGUAGCGGUGAAAUGCUUAGAUAUCACGAAGAACUCCGAUUGCGAAGGCAGCUCACUGGACUGCAACUGACACUGAUGCUCGAAAGUGUGGGUAUCAAACAGGAUUAGAUACCCUGGUAGUCCACACAGUAAACGAUGAAUACUCGCUGUUUGCGAUAUACAGUAAGCGGCCAAGCGAAAGCAUUAAGUAUUCCACCUGGGGAGUACGCCGGCAACGGUGAAACUCAAAGGAAUUGACGGGGGCCCGCACAAGCGGAGGAACAUGUGGUUUAAUUCGAUGAUACGCGAGGAACCUUACCCGGGCUUAAAUUGCAUUUGAAUAUAUUGGAAACAGUAUAGCCGUAAGGCAAAUGUGAAGGUGCUGCAUGGUUGUCGUCAGCUCGUGCCGUGAGGUGUCGGCUUAAGUGCCAUAACGAGCGCAACCCUUAUCUUUAGUUACUAACAGGUCAUGCUGAGGACUCUAGAGAGACUGCCGUCGUAAGAUGUGAGGAAGGUGGGGAUGACGUCAAAUCAGCACGGCCCUUACGUCCGGGGCUACACACGUGUUACAAUGGGGGGUACAGAAGGCAGCUACCUGGUGACAGGAUGCUAAUCCCAAAAGCCUCUCUCAGUUCGGAUCGAAGUCUGCAACCCGACUUCGUGAAGCUGGAUUCGCUAGUAAUCGCGCAUCAGCCAUGGCGCGGUGAAUACGUUCCCGGGCCU
rnacentral:rRNA from 1 species